AUGACAUUAUCUCAAAUUGUGAGAGAAGCGUGCAUAACCUUGUCUAUGUGUCCAGAAAUUAUUCCUCUGUGUCAGAAUUUCAUGUCAAAGGCUCAAAAGCAAACUGUAUAACUUAGUUCUCAGUGAAGGGAUUUCUAAGGGACAACUGAGGCCACAAGAAGAAGACUCCAAAACAAGACAAAGUACUUUAUGUCCCUUGGAAAGAUGCUGAAGGGAUCAGGAGCUCAAGCAGUGUUCUCCUCAGUCCUCCCAGUUGGAGACUAGGAACCAAGGAGGAGGUAGCAUACGGAUCAGAUUUCUGAUGAAGAAAAUUCAAAUUCUGGAGCAACUUAGAGUGAGAUUCAACAAAAUGAUUUGGCACACAAAAUUUGUCUUGUCUUCUACCCCUGGCUUAGCCUUCACAAAAUGCAUAAAUCUGUAGGAUCUAUCUGGCUAGAUUUAAAAUUCCCUAGUUUUUGAGACCCACACUGCUACGAAUACUUCAAUUUCAGUAGCUCAGUGCCAGUUGUCCUAUUUAAGCUUCAUUGAGUCUUGGGAAUGAGCUAUUCCUUUGCUCCUGAGAGAUCUGCUCCAUUACAGUGUUUUGGAAAUGCAUUCAUAUGAUUGACAUUUCUACAGAACUGUGGGAGCCACUUACUCUUUUGAACAUAAUUGCUAUGGGAGGAGACAAUCAGAAUACUAUUCAUUUCACUAGUCUAACAGAAUUGUAUUGCAUACUAUCAUAAGGUAAAAUGCAUUUUGGAUAAUACCUCUGGACCCUCAACAGGCUGUGUCAGUCCUGAGCUACAGCACAACUUCCUUUCAACAUUUCAUAUUGACUACAGUAUAACAGGACACGUGGACUGGAAUCUUAUGUAUCAGGAACAGACAGUGAAUGUGGAUUUCUUAUCUCGUCUAUGAUUGCUCAAGCGAUUAAGGAAUUAUAUAAAAGAGGCUGCAAUUCUUUAGAAGUCACUUUUGUAUUAGAAAAGAGAAAAGUGAACUUUGCCCAGGUAUUGGGAAGAGUGUUUGUAGAUGCUUACUGGGUGCUGAAGUUUGAUUUAUGGGGUAGGAUUGAACCCACUCUGAGCAACUUAUCUCACCACUAUAUCUUAAGACUGAGAGACCAAAAGCUAAGCGCUUUUCAAAUUUUGAUUCCUAGCUGUCUUUAGAUUUCAGUCUCACUAAAUGUAAAUGUUUAAAUAUAAAAUCUAGAUACUAUUGUAUUUUUUCCAUUUCUGCCUCUCCUUUUAUAUUAAGAGAGACUGUUUUCUUUCAAAUAAAUUAUAAUGUUUCUCCAAUGCACAGUUUCUGUGCUUUGGAGAUCUGAUACCAGUUAACUCUCUUGCUACUAUAGCAGAACUAAUAACAGAGCAUGACUGAUAGACAGAAGUAAUGUUGUUCAAAAGAAAAAAUCCCUUCCACUUUUUCUUUUGAAUUUGUUAGACCUCUCUUCUCUAUAGGGUUUGUUUCAGCAAACAAUUUGAAAAUGCUGAGCCAGUCAGAAUAUAGUGAUCUACAUCUUUGAUGUAUAGAAAUCAAGAAAAUAUUAAACUUAUUUACAUAGUCUGAGUAUAUGAGACUUGUGAAAUGAGAAUUCAUCGUCCUGUGUUGCUACUGAGAAAUGUACAGGAUAAACUGGACAUACAACACAUUAAGUCUGUAAUCUAAGGAAAAUUUACUGUUACAUGUAUGUACCACAAACUGCACAGACUUCUGUCAUUUGAUUGUGUAACGCAAUUCUAUUUUCAUCUUGAAAUGAAGCAAUUAAUAUUUUUUCCUAAUCGUUUGCAGAGUUCCAAUCCACAUACUCAAUUGCAUUUUCCUUUUUAGUGGCUCAUAACAUCUUUUGCCUAUGUUCUUUCUAGAAUUACCACUGGUAAAAAUAUAUGGACCAUAUAAUCCUAUUCUUCCUCUACAGUGUCACAGUACAAAGCAGUUAGAAAUAUGAUUUCAUCUGGUUAAAGAGGUUUGCAGCACUUUGAAAGCACUGAAGUGACACCAAGCAGCUUAACUGCAUGGACAUACCUAUCUCCUCUUUCUCUUAAAAUGCAACUAUGUAUGUACAUGUAUACUCAUUCUUUUUUAUUGUUAAAUAGCCUUUGUACUCUGAACAUUAGGAAAGAGAAAUAACACUUUCAGAAUGUAUAUUAAAAUGUAUACUGCAUUCAUGUAUGCUUUGGUGAAAGGUUAUCUAUAUAUAUAUAUAUUUUAUUUUUUUUUCCGAUUUCCUUUAUCAUCUACUACAGGCAAUGAAGGUGCUGAAAAAUAUGAGAGAAAGAGAAAAAGCGAAAUAAAAAAACAAAACAAAACAAAAAAAAAACCACAGAAUUUCCAGAUUAUUAAUUAUCUUAAAGUUACUAAUUUUAUAUUAUUUACCUUUUCAACUUCCACCUUUCUACAUUUCACCUUCAAACAAAUAAAAGAAUUUACUUCAGAAAAAUAAUUAAAAAAAAUAAAAUCAUAUGAUCAGAUGUAAUUAAAAACCAAGAUUGAGCAUAAGAACAGGUUUCCCCGAGUGGUUGUGGAGUCUCCAUCUUUGGAGACAGUGAAAAGCCACCUGGAUAUGGUCCUGGGCAACCUGCUGUGGGUGACCCUGCUUGUACAAGGAGGUUGGACCAAAUGGCCUCCAUAGGUACUUCAAUCACACUGUGAUUUUGUAAUAGAAACUAAAUGCUAAUGAUACCAUUUUUCUCCUAUGACAAUAGUCCU